CUAGCACACUCCAUCCCCACGCCCCACACCUAUUGUCUCCCUUGCGAGCAGCUUUUGGGAAAACCUGGAAAUUUUGGCCAGAAAUGGUGAGAAGAAAAAGCAUGAAGAAGCCGCGAAGUGUGGGGGAGAAAAAGGUGGAAGCGAAGAAACAGCUCCCGGAGCAAACUGUACAAAACCUCGCCAAGAGUGUUGGGAGGCAGGACCGUUAUUCCUGCGGAGCAGGAGAGAGAGGAGAGACCCUGAAACACGCGCCACCUAUCUUUGUGGGGAGGGAUAAUUGAAGCGCCCUGAGCGUGAGCAUCAUGUGAAAACGUGAUCGCCAAGUUUCUCUCUGGGAAAGGAUCUGGGAUAGAUUAUACCUUGAAGUCUCCGCAAACGCUUUAGUGGAAGAAAUGAAAUUCCACCUCCCUCCCUUCCUCUCU